GGAGACGAGGUAGAUGGAAAGGGGCCGAGAUGUCAUAUUUCUUUUUGUUUCUAUAGGUUUCUUACUUUUUACUUUUUUCUAUCCUUCCUGUCCUCCAUCGCUACAUCUCUAAAAAACUCCUCUAUUUUUCUGAUUCUUCCCCAGAAACAAUGAUUCCUCAAGACUGCCGCCUCUGUCUUGCUCACUUUCAAAUCCCUUCCCAGGGAGCAGGUUCUCUGAGCUAUCAAGUCCCUGACUGAUGUUUAAUAUGUUGGUAGUUAGUGGUGGAAUUAGUCUUUCUAGAAGUUUCUCUUUUGUCUUCAAGAUCUGAAAUCUCCUCUUGACCUUACUUCUUGCUUCCGGAUCUGUAGGUCAGCGCUGGCUUGAUUUGGCCCUGCUGUGUUCCACAUUUCUUUUCGAUCUAGGACUUUGGUUGAAGGAACAGUCCUUAUUUGGGAUACUCUCUUCUCAUGGCAGACAGCAGGAGCAAAGAGGUUGACUCAAAUUAUUCAAGCACAUUCAAAGCUUCCACUUGGAUAUGGUGUAUGUAAUAUUUGCUCAUCUUCCAUCGGCAAAGGCAAGUCACGUGGCCAAGCCUCCCAGUGGGGCCAGGAAGUAUAUUCUGCCCACAGGCAAGCAGAGCAAAGGGCAGACCUCUUCCUGGAAUCAGUUCAGCUCUUAGAACCCCCCAUGGGUGGCUGAUGGACAAAGCAAUAAAGCUGACUGCAUCCUGCUCCUUCCCA
rnacentral:lncRNA from 1 species